rnacentral:rRNA from 1 species
CAGCAGCCGCGGGAAUACGUAGGGUCCGAGCGUUGUCCGGAAUUAUUGGGCGUAAAGGGCUCGUAGGCGGUUUGUUGCGUCGGGAGUGAAAACCCAGGGCUUAACUUUGGGCUUGCUUUCGAUACGGGCAGACUUGAGGCAUUGAGGGGAGAACGGAAUUCCUGGUGUAGCGGUGAAAUGCGCAGAUAUCAGGAGGAACACCGGUGGCGAAGGCGGUUCUCUGGCAAUGUUCUGACGCUGAGGAGCGAAAGUGUGGGGAGCGAACAGGAUUAGAUACCCCCGUAGUCCCUGUCUCUUAUAU